AUGGGGCGAAGGAGGAAAAGUUCUUUUUGCAGCACCCUCGCGCCUCCCCAGCCCUUUCGCGGUUUACUCGCUCCCUGGAAAUCAGGUUACAGCAUCCCAAAAUUUCAUGUCCCCAAGACCCCCAAAGGGGAAAUUAACCACCCUCAGGCACCGAGCUGUUUGUCUCCAUUUCCCACAACUCAGCCAACUCGGCCUGCCUACUACUCCAGCUCAGGCUGCAAAGCGCUCACCCAGGUGACUGGAAAGGAAGGGUCGCCAGGUGGCGACCAGCUCAGCGGGGUGAACGCAACCGCCCGGACGGGGACGCGGGUCUCCUGGCCUCCCGCAGAGGCGCCUGCCCGCUGUCAAUUUGCAGGAAAUAGAGGACAGAAGCAUCUGUUGAACUGCACCAUGAGGAUACACUCAGCAAAGGCCAAACUAUGGAAAACGAUACAAGUCAAACAGCCUGGAUUCUUUAACAGGUAAAUUGUAAGGAAAAGAAGGGGCCGAAGGGGAAAACUUUAUAUUGAAAGAGACUUAAAAGAAACAAAAUUUUAAAAAUGGGCAGGAAUAAACUACAGUCUUUAAGAGUGCAUACUUUAGUGAUAAAAUGACAAAGAAACAGAAUGAAGUGAUUCCUAUAAAACGGUGGUUCUCAAGCUUUAAGUUUUCAUGAAAAUCACCUGGAAAAAAAUUUAAACAUGGAUUGCCGGGCUCCACUCCAAGAGUAUUUUAUUUCUUAGGUCUGUGAUGGGGCCCAAUAAUUUGCUUUCCUAUCAAGAUUCUAGACACUUUGAGAACCACUGCUAUAAAAGGUGAAAUAGUGAUUUUUUGGGAUGGAAGGGUAAGGAUGGAGGGAAGGGACUAUAGCUGAGACAGGAUAUGUGGAGGGGCUUCCGAGAUAGCUGUGCUAGUUCUAUUUCUUGACUUUGGUGUUGGUUAUAAGAAAGUUGGACAUGUAAUAAUUCAUUAGGCUAUACAUUUGUUUCAUGUAUCUUUUGUAUCUGUUUUUUCUGUUUGUUUGUUUGUUUUAGACGGAGUCUCAUUCUGUCACCCAGCCUGAAGUGCAAUGGUGCAAUCUCAGCUCACUGCAACCUCUGCCUCCCAGGCUCAAGCCUCCUGCCUCCACCUCCUGAAUAGAUGAGAUUACAGGCACGCACCACCAGGCCCAGUAUUUUUAGUAUUUUUUGUAUUUUUAGUACAGACGGGGUUUCACCAUAUUGCCCAGGCUGGUCUUGAAAUCCUUACCUCAGGUGAUCCACCCACCGCGGCCUCCUAAAGUGCUAGGAUUACAGGUGUGAGCCACUAUUCCCAGCCUUUUGUAUCUGUUUUAUUUUUUAAAUAAUAAGUUUAAAAAUAAAUAUUCUGCAAGAUUAAACAAAUAUAGAUUUAAAUUUUUACAGUCCAAUUGAGUGACUUCCUCAUGUUCCAAAAUCAGGAAGUAGGUGUGGGACAUCUAUCUCUGUAUUGCAUACACAGUCUGGAUUCUAGUUGUAGACUCCAUAUGGGCUGUCAUACACCCUACUACAGAAAUGAGAGAAAUCCCUGGGAAAUGGAACAGUCUCACACAUGAGAGACAUCUCUGACAACUUAUUCAUAACUGAGUACUUCUCAUUUAUCUUUACCAGUAAGUGAUAUUUCUGAAGCACCAAUGAAAAUGAAGUCCUGAAGUCCUGUGCUCAAUAUGAAAUGUUCGAAGUUAGAAAGAAAAAAACAAAACGUGGAUCCAAUCUCAAGGCACUUUUAGUUUAAUGGGAAGAAGUGGAUUAUUUUAAAAGCUACAAAUAAAGUUACAUAGAAGUAGCAAAGUUGAUAUAGUUUCUGUUGCUCUCUCCCAUAUAUUUUAUUUUACAAAUUUAUAAGAUUAUCAAUUUGGAAGCCAUGUUUAUAACCUACGUUCAAAAAUAUUCUUAAAAUAUUUAUUUAAAAAGUUCUAGCGAAGUCUUUAUGAUAACAUCUUUACAGUAUCUUAUUUUUA
rnacentral:lncRNA from 1 species